rnacentral:tRNA from 1 species
CUGAUGUAGCUCAAUCGGUAGAGCAGCUGAUUUGUAAUCAGCAGGUCGCGGGUUCGAUUCCCAUCAUCAGCUCCAU